rnacentral:rRNA from 1 species
CCUACGGGAGGCUGCAGUGAGGAAUAUUGGUCAAUGGACGCAACUCUGAACCAGCCAUGCCGCGUGCAGGAAGACGGCUCUAUGAGUUGUAAACUGCUUUUGUACGAGGGUAAACGCAGAUACGUGUAUCUGUCUGCAAGUAUCGUACGAAUAAGGAUCGGCUAACUCCGUGCCAGCAGCCGCGGUAAUACGGAGGAUGCGAGCGUUAUCCGGAUUUAUUGGGUUUAAAGGGUGCGUAGGCGGUCGGAUAAGUUAGAGGUGAAAUCCCGAGGCUUAACUGUGGAAUUGCAUCUGAUACUGGGCGGCUAGAGAGCAGUUGAGGUAGGCGGAAUGUAUGGUGUAGCGGUGAAAUGCUUAGAGAUCAUAAAGAACACCGAUUGCGAAGGCAGCUUACCAAGCUAUUACUGACGUUGAGGCACGAAAGCGUGGGGAGCAAACAGGAUUAGAUACCCUAGUAGUC